UCCCUAGUAGCUCAGCUGGUAAAGAAUCUGCCUGCAAUGCAGGAGAUCUGGUUCAAUUCCUGGUUUGGGAA
rnacentral:tRNA from 1 species